AUUAUCAGCAGCAUCAAUCAUCGCAAUUACCCUCCUCAAAUCCCAAACCCUCUCGCAAUAAUAAUCCACUAAUUAAUCGCCCUUAUUUUUUCCCCGAGCCGUUCCAAUUUCCGAGCCAUCGAAUCGAAUCCAGCAUCAUCGAUCGUGUGAUGAACUCACGAUUGACCACGAAACCCUCACCUCUCCAUCUCGGUCUCGUCGGCGGCGGCCUCCGCCUGCUGCGGAGUUGACGAGGAGAGCUGCGCGGCGGCGAGCGCGUCGGCGAGGGCGCGCAUGGCCUUGACCUGCAUCUCCAGCGCGGCCACGUAGUCGGCCGUCUCCUCGAGCAGCGCCGGCGCGGGGAGCUUCCGGCAUCCGGGGACGAGGCGGCCCAGCACGCGGAGGCGCUCCUUCACCUUCCUCUCCUUCAGCAUCGGGGGCUCGCCGGCGGAGGAGGCGGCCGCGGCCGCCUUAGCCGCCGCCGCCGCCGCGGCGCGCGCCUGCGGGCGGCGGCAGCUGUUGCCACCGCCGCCGCGGCGGAUCUUCCCGCCGGCCUUGACGAGCACGCGGCGCCUGGACGACGCCGCGCCGGCCAGCAGGAUGGCGCGGCUCCACCUCGACUGCCCCCGCGCGGUGAGCGCCAGCGCCGAGUCCGCCGCGGCCUUCACCGCCCGCGGCUGCGGCGGCGCGCCCCCGCCCCCGCCUGCAGCCCCGUCCCGCGUGGCCCGCAGCGCGUCGAGCAGGCGCCGCCCGUAGAUCCUCUCCUGCGCGCCGCUCCUCCACUUGGUCCUCGUCGCCGCCGCCGCCGCGGCGCCCGCACCCGCACCCGCCUUCCCCCGCACCUUCGCCAUGCCCGCCACCCUCACCCCCGACGACGACGCAGAAGACGACGCCGCCGACGACGAGCCGCUGCCUGUAGAGAUCAUCACGCCCACCUCCACCUCCGAUUACCACCAAUCAGGCGGCGGCGGCGGUGGUGGUGGUGGGAAGAGGAGGAGAGGGAAAGGAGAAGAGAGAGAGAGAGAGAGAGAGAGAGAGAGGUAAGCUUUUCUUUUGUGGCGUAGUUGGGGUUGGGUGUACUUAUUUGGUGCGGGGGGUGGUGGUGAUUAGCGGAGUGGAUUAGACAUGGGGAGUGGUGUCGUGGUGAGGUGGUGGUGGUGGUGGUGGUGUUCGCCUCGCCUUUUGAUCGUUCGGUUUGGUGUGGAAUUUGGCGGUGAGGUGAGACGAGCGAGGUAUGAGUCGCGCCUCGCGGUAGGC
rnacentral:sRNA from 1 species